rnacentral:rRNA from 1 species
AUUGAACGCUGGCGGCAUGCCUUACACAUGCAAGUCGAACGGCAGCACGGGGCAACCUGGUGGCGAGUGGCGAACGGGUGAGUAAUGCAUCGGAACGUACCUUUCAGUGGGGGAUAACGUAGCGAAACUUACGCUAAUACCGCAUAUUCUGUUAGCAGGAAAGCAGGGGAUCGCAAGACCUUGAGCUGAUUGAGCGGCCGAUGUCAGAUUAGCUAGUUGGUGAGGUAAAGGCUCACCAAGGCGACGAUCUGUAGCGGGUCUGAGAGGAUGAUCCGCCACACUGGAACUGAGACACGGUCCAGACUCCUACGGGAGGCAGCAGUGGGGAAUUUUGGACAAUGGGGGCAACCCUGAUCCAGCCAUGCCGCGUGAGUGAAGAAGGCCUUCGGGUUGUAAAGCUCUUUCGGCCGGGAAGAAAUCGCACGGGCUAAUACCCUGUGUGGAUGACGGUACCGGAAUAAGAAGCACCGGCUAACUACGUGCCAGCCGCCGCGGUAAGAC